rnacentral:lncRNA from 1 species
UCCAAGAUACCCAAUCCAGAUACUUUCGCUUACAAGUCAAAUAGACCUCGUCUCUCCCGAGCCUAUUUCCUAUAGUCCAAUCCGGCCUAAGGUUUGCUAGGUCCCCUAAUACUCAACCCUAGCUCUGAUACCAAAUUAAUCUGUCCAUAUAUCUAUCUGUUUAUUGAACUAACCUGCAGGUUGCCUCUCUUUGACCUAUUGGUCGAGCUUUUCCCUUGGGUGGCCGUACCCACUGGGAACCAUGGAGUUGGUUCUCACCCCACGUUGUUUUGGGGUGUUACAGGUUCGCACGUGAGCGGCGCGGCGGCGCGAGGCAAGGGCGUAGCUUCGUAGAUAGCGCCCUACCCAGAGACCAGAGUUAGCAGUACCCCGUCGACAUAGCUUAGGGGUAUGGGGUGUUAUUAAUGAAAAGAACACAAUGUAUCAACGUGUAAAUAAAUUUGUAAGAACUUAGAUUGCAUUUGGAUGAAAAAGAAUGUAAAAAGAACUGUGAUGUAAAAAGUAUGAAUGUAAAUGUUUGUAAUAAUAUAGGAUGUGUUUAUGUUGUUUGAUACCUUCCAUUAUGCAAUCUUGAUUGAUAUCAGUUCCUGAUUGGAACCUUCGUAUUGUAUGGAUUGCGUUGCCUUGAAUGUACAGGGGAGACUCUGUCCGCAGUACAGGGGAAACCCUGUCCAUUCGGCGAUGUCGGCGGCGCUGCGACCUCGGCCAAAUAGGCGGGUGGUCGCGAGUCGUGACAGGAACACUGUCAACGACCCACCAGAAAGUCUGGAAAAGCUCGACACACAAAUCAAACACUCGAACCUCGCAAUUUGCAAAGGUCCAGUGUGUUACAUUCACCCCUCCUAAAAAGGAGUUUCGUCCGCGAAACUCAAGGCAGAAACACACCUCAAGGCUCCAUCUGAAAAAGAUGAGGAUAGCGCUCCUGCAAAGCGCUCUCUAGUUCCCACGUUGCCUCCCGCUCCCCGUGGUUGCUCCAAAGAACCUUCACAUACGGAAUAUCCCGAUUCCGCAGUUUCUUCAUUUCGCGAGCCAAAAUCUUCACUGGUUGCUCCUCGAAGCUCAAAUCCUCGCGCAGCUCCACUGGUAUAGCUUCCAAGACAUGAGCUGGAUCAAGAAUGCACCUCCGAAGGACCGAUACAUGAAAGACGUUGUGCACGCCAGAUAGGUUCGGUGCUAGAGCAAGUCGAUACGCUACCGGACCCAUACGCUCCAAGAUCUCAUACGGUCCAAUGAAACGGGGGCUCAACUUUCCCCGAAUCCCGAAUCUCUUGAUUCCUCUAGUCGGCGAGACUUUCAAGAAAACAUGGUCUCCCACUUGGAACUCCAAGUCCCGCCGCCGUCGAUCAGCGUAGCUCCUCUGUCUACUCUGCGCCGUCAAAAGUCGCUCCCGAGCAAUUCGAACCUUAUCCUCAGCUUCCUGGAGCACAUCAGGGCCUAAAGCCAAUCUCUCGCCGACUUUACUCCAAUGAAGUGGCAAUCUACACUUCCGUCCAUAGAGUGCUUCAAACGGCGCCAUCUUGAUGCUUGCUUGAUAACUGUUGUUAUAAGCAAACUCCGCCAUAGGUAGAUGCUGCGACCAUCCUCCCUGGAAAUCCAUCACACAUGCCCGGAGCAUAACCUCUAAAGUCUGUAUAGUGCACUCCGACUGUCCAUCACUCUGCGGGUGGAAUGCGGUGGUGAAAUCCAAUCAAGUGCCCAAAACGUCCUGCAGACUCCUCCAAAAGAGAGACACGAACCGAGUGUCUCGAUCUGAUACUAUCGGUGUAGGCACUCCAUGAAGUCGCACAAUCUCGUCGAGGUACACUUGUGCGAGCUUCUCCCCAGUCCAAGUCAUAUGAAUACGUAUGAAGUGCGCCGACUUCGUCAAUCUAUCCGCGAUCACCCAAAUAGCAUCAUGCCCAGCCUGUGAGCGAGGCAAUCCUGUCACAAAGUCCAUGGUGAUCUUCUCCCACUUCCACACAGGGACAGGUAAACUCCGAAGCUUCCCUGCGGGAACUCGGUGCUCCACUUUUACUUGUUGGCAAGUUAGACAACGAGCCACAAACUCACCAACGUCCUUUUUCAUCUCGGGCCACCAAUGAAGCAACUUUAGAUCCUUGUACAUCUUGGUGCCACCCGAAUGUAUAGCAUAGAGCGCCCGGUGCGCUUCUUGAAGAAUAUCUUCUUUAAUCCCCGAAUCCGCGGGUAUACAAAUCCGCCCACGGAAACGUAUCCAUCUCAGAUCAUCCCAAAAGGGAGUCGCUGGUGCAACCAUCAACCAUUUUACCUUGAAUCUUUUGCAAUUCCAAAACGAAAACUUGCUUCUCUUUGAUCCUAUCCAAAAGACUAGGUUGCACUACCAAAUUCAUCAACCUCAAAUUCACCACUCGGGAGUACUCUCAAUCCCACUGCAAAAUAUGGUCGGGGCUAAGCUCAAAAGCUUCAUCAGUCUACUAAGAUCGUCAUCUUAGUGCUAACUCAAGUCCAAGUAAACUCUCACAAGCCUAGGCCAAAAGGCCUAGCUUCGACAGAAGGCUCACAACGCAAUCACUUUGAAAUUUCCGAUCCCAAUGCCUUUCCUAGCAUUGGAUGCUCCAGGUGUCCAUGGUCCCCAACUCAAUUCUCGCGAUAGAGGUGGAUCAAUCCACCGUUCAACGACAGCUCUCUAUCAAAGUCAUCCUGAUGCGAUCGUCAAACCAAAGUCAAUUCCAUCAGUCCUCAUAUAAGGUUCUAUCCUGAAGGACUCAAUUCCUUGUACGCGCUCCUGACACGGGGAAUUAUCAACUUGGUACCUUCCCUCUCACAAGUUUUCCAUCCAUCAGUGAGAGUUCCACAACUCAAUCACCUCAAACCUGCCUACGCAGUCCAACCUCGCACAUCCUAUCAAAAUACCCCAAGUCAUCCGCAACGGUUCUACAAAUCCACCCAGAGGGCUCGGAUUUAUCAUUCCGCGAACCCUUCCACAGGUAGAGUAUUAUAGGCUUAGGCAGCAUCAUCCUCGUGAUGUCCACACCUAGCAUCACAACCCAUUUGAGGUACGACCUCAAACUCCAACAUCAACAGCAUUACUCAGAUUACUCACAAUCUUAACAAGUACACCCACAACUCAAGGCCAUCUGACAAGGUCAAUGGGCCUCAGCAACGGUCUAAACCUCCAAUCGUGGUUCAAUUUGAAUCACGAGAGUCGACAUACAGUCGGAACGGCCCAACCGGUCCCACAACAGGUGAGAGUGCUCCUCCACGAGGCAAAACACCAUCUAUAAAAUCUCCCUGUCAAUUGAGCUAACGAUUAGUGACUCGAUCGGGGACAUAACGACCGAUCAAGGACAUUCUUUAUUUCAAGGAUUCUCGAUCACCCAAAGCUAAUGGCCACUCAGGCCCCAACCCUCUCCAACACUUACCCUAUUUUAGGUAAGGGAGACUAUCAACGCAUCUAGCGGAAGUAAAUCCUCAAAUCGCACUAUUUCGUGCUCACCGUCCUCAAGGCGAGUCAAGUCAGCUCGCAAUCCAAGGGUACCAGGUACCCCUAACAACUCCACACCAAGGAAGGCCAAUCUAUUUGUUGGCACACAGAAUCAUCUCACGGGGUAGGGCGUUCGAAACGACACACCCGAUCAACCGAUCAUCCACACACGCCGAAAGGUUCAACACUAACAAAUCCUCAGGUUGGGUAACUACACACUAAGUGUGUCCUCGAUCUCACGAUCCAACACGUGGCUUUCCACGUUCUAGGGUCCACGCUCAGACUACCAUCCUGACCAAAACUCUGCCCUACCCGCAGGUACAGGGCCGCUGUCACACACAGCCGACUGCACCUGCCCAACGGGCCCAGGCUCCACAGUCCCCAAAUGGUCCAAGCACGGUCGUCUCCAAGCACUAUCCGGCAAACAGCCGAGCCGGGGUACAACUAAUGCAAUCCUCGUGAAAUCUACAAGCAUAGCAAAAUAUGCCACCCGCAACCCGCAAAUCAAUCGCCUGGCUCGAGAGGCUACACAAUGUCGCAAACAGCGAACUAACGAAAUGUAAUGCAACUCGGUGAAUAGCCGAUCAUAGAUGCAAUGCUCCAAUAACCAACAAUGCACAACUCGAAUGCCACAAACGAAACUGAUACCUGUAGUCACAAACUCGGCCGCUGCCGCCUACUCUGUCUGGGCCACGUACAGGCGUCUGCUCAGGGCCCGUCGUGACCCUCCGUCUGUCGCUGGACGGGUGGCCUUCCGGCCUGACAGUGAGUAAAAGGCAUCCCCCGGCUGGGAUCCGGUAAUACUGGUACCGAUGCUGAAGAUGGCGCUGAUGCUAACCCCCUCGAACAGUCUGACAGGAAGUGACCCUCCUGGCCACACGAGUAGCACCUGCCCUGCCUCUGUGAGCACUGCUGCGGGUAAUGACGGCCACCGCAGAUCACGCAGCUCUGAGUCUGAUGACGCUCGGAUCCUCUAUACAGUGCUGAUGAGCCACGUUCUCGCGACUGGCUCCAGUUCCUGGAAUGUCUCGGCGGCCUCCCAGAGUGCGUCUGACUCGCACCCUCAGUCACGGGUCUCAUACCAUUUCCUUUGUUUGAGCCUUUCCGACGCUCCUGUAAGUCUGCCGCGCAGCUUUCCACGAUGAGGGCGCGGUUCACCACGUCUUGGUAAGUCUGAAGGUGGAAGGGUUGCACCAACCGUAAAAUCGAUGACCGAAGUCCUCGCUCGAAGAUGCGAGCCUUAUCCUCGUCGUCUCGCACAACAAAGGGCGCAUAGCGUAGAAGCUGAGAGAACUCCCUCUCGUACUCGGCCACAGUCCGAUCCUCCUAGCGCAUCUCGGGCAGAUCCUGCUCCACUUUCCUCUUCACGCGGACGAGGAAGUAAUGCUCUAAUAAGAGCUCCUUGAAUCUCUUUCAAGAAAUCGCUGCUAGGUCGGUGUCGGGAUUAUCCUGGAUGCCCACCCACCAACUAUAGGCCUCGCCGUCCAAAUGGUGAGUGGCGAGCCAAACUCUAUCUCUCUCCUCCACGAAGGUGUCGCGGAAUAACUUCUCCAUAUGCGUCAACCACUUCUCAACGAUCCAGUGGUCGGUUUUCUCUCCAUCAAAGAUCCUGGGAUCGCGCCUCCGGAACUCGUCGAGGCGAUCCAUGAGCCGCUGCCGCUCCGCUCUUUCAACCAUCAAGGGAAAAGUCGCCGCUGUCACAGACACCUGAGCUGGUGGUGCUGUCAAUGCCUUCUCCCGAAGGGCUACCGUAAGUGUCAUCUGCGAAGUGUCGAGUACAGGGGAUGACCCCCCCGGGCGCAACUAUUUCCACUGGUGCGGGUAGUACCGAGACCUGAGCCUCCCCGGCAGCUGCCUGUUGUAGAAGAAGGUCCUCCAGUCGCUGCAUCCGUACCUCCUGUCGGCGUGCCGUAUCCACCAGCUGUCGAGCCGCCGCCGCCUGCUGCGUCACCAGAUCAGUGAGGGCCACAAGCUGACUCCUCAACUCACGGACCUCUUUGGAUCCGGAGGCAGCGGGUAUCUCCGCUUCCUCAAAAGUCGUCGCAUCGUCCGCUCCAACUAACUUAGAGCGUGAAGUCGGCAUUGACACUUCAACAUCAUAAAAGCGCAAGUUAAUAUAACCCACGCUAUCGCAACCACGCUCAAAUAAUAAUACCCCAAAUCAUGCGAAAGUAAAGAAGUGUCCCAACUACUAACUCCCGAUGUUACGUUGUCGGCGGCCAACGUAACGCUCCGCGAAGUUAGAAGUCAAACACUCCGAUUUAACUCCACUUUCUAGAGUUAUCCAAGAUACCCAAUCCAGAUACUUUCGCUUACAAGUCAAAUAGACCUCGUCUCUCCCGAGCCUAUUUCCUAUAGUCCAAUCCGGCCUAAGGUUUGCUAGGUCCCCUAAGACUCAACCCUAGGCUCUGAUACCAAAUUAAUCUGUCACGCCCCGGGACCCAGCGGAAGCCCGCCCGGCGCGUGCCCAGACCCGCCAUAUGUCUACAACAUAUAAGGCGUCUAAAAACAACAAUAAUAAAAGCACUAAUACAAGACAUCUAGGAGUAUCAGAACAGAAUAAAAGUC